GGAGAGGUGUCCGAGUGGUUGAAGGAGCACGCUUGGAAAGCGUGUGUGCGGGCAACCGUACCAAGGGUUCGAAUCCCUUUCUCUCCGCCA
rnacentral:tRNA from 1 species